UGGGAGUUUAGGGAGGGCAAAUCAAGGGUAAUUCCCAGGUUUUUGCCCUGAGGAACUGGAAGGGUGGAGUUGACAUUGACUGAACUUGAUGAGACUGGGAGGAGCAGGCUCGGGGGAAGAUCGGGAGCUGGGCUUUGGGCAUGUGAAGUUUGAGGCCAUCUAAGGACUUUAUCCUGGGGGCUCCAACAGGUUGUGGGUAUUCUCAUCCUGCUGAUGGCCCUCCAGGAGGGGCUGGGGGACUCUCAGGAGAAUUUUAUCCCAUAUCUCUUCCCCUCCAGAUGUUUUCAAGAAUGCUCUCCGCCUGGGGACCUUCUCGGCUGUGCUGGUCACCUAUGCAGCCAGCGCCCUCCUACAUGGCUUCAGUUUCCACCUGGCUGCGGUCCUGCUGUCCCUGGCUUUUAUCACUUACGUGGAGCAUGUCCUCCGGAAGCGCCUGGCUCGGAUCCUCAGUGCCUGUGUCUUGUCAAAGCGGUGCCCGCCAGACUGUUCGCACCAGCAUCGCUUGGUGAGGGUUCAGCCUGGGCAACCUUGUGCCCAACACUCCCCGUCAAAAAUGUGCCUUCUAUCUCUAUCUUGUAUGUGUCUCAG
rnacentral:sRNA from 1 species